GACCGCUCCGGUGGCCUAGUGGUUAGAGCGUCUGCCUUGUAUGCGGAAGGUCGUGGAUUCGAACCCCGGCCGAGUCA